AAACCAUGCAUCAGGAAUUUUCUAAUUAACUCCUUGAAUCACUCCUAUGCUUCAUAUAACGUUUCAUCCUUAGAUUGCCAAAAUUACGUAAUACCAUUCCUCAGUUU
rfam:Gossypium hirsutum cultivar TM-1 chromosome 14, whole genome shotgun sequence